ensembl:lincRNA
CGCUGAUGCUAUCGAUCCAGGGAGCACACUUGGAGUGUCCCUGCCCUGCCUUCUCGAUUGAGGUAGCACCUGGAAAAUGAUGUUAACAUCAGAACUUACGUGAUAGAGCUGUUGUCCCAGAUAAAUGAGAUAACAUGUGACAUUAUUAGGAUAGCUGCUGACAUUUGUAAAUUCUCAAUAAGUGGUAGCCACUGUUAUGGUGUGAGUCACCACGCACAUCACACAUACGAUGUGCUUCUUACAUUAUCAGAAGAUGAACAUGGUGAAUGGAAGCAGGACCGUUUGCUUUACAGAAAGCCAAUUUCAGGAGUCCAUGGCUACCAGCAGAGAGCACACGAAAUCAAGAAGGAACGCCAGAAUUGGUCCUGCUGCUCUGAACCUGUUUUCUCCCAUCAAGGCCCAGGUCUUAGCCAAAGAGAGGGAAGGAGAGGAGGUGGAGAGGCACAGAUAGCAGGUGUCUAUCCAUACAGGAAGGGGAGAGGAGUGCGCACCAGUCCAGUGCCCCACCAGGUCCCGUAACUCCCCUAGCAGUGAAGAGCCUGCACUCACACCAUGGGAUCUGCACAUCACCACAGCCUCCAAGCCAUACAGCCUCCAGCAGCUGUUAAAUCUUUGCAAAGAGGGGGCAGCAACCCCUGCCCUUCAGCGCCUUGGGGUUAAAGAAGUGAACAUAUGGAAUACUUAGCACAGUGCUUGACACAGAGCAAAUGUGUCCCAUCAUUUAGGAUUGUUCAUCGCCCUCUCAUUUGAUGGAUGGGAAGGUUCCCAUUAGAUACUGAUAUAAGGUCUUAGAUUAGAGGGGAAGGAAAAGCAGAGUUUAGUUAAACACCUUUCCCUUCACCACAUUGCCACCAGGUAGGCAACAAAUCAUCAAAUACUGUAUUAGUCUGUUCUCAUGCUGCUAUGAAGAAAUAACCAAGACUGGGUAAUUUAUAAAGGAAAGAGGUUGAAUUGACUCACAGUUCUGCAUGGCUCGGGGAGCCUCAGGAAACUUACAAUCAUGGCAGAAGCACCUCUUCACAGGGUGGCAGGAGAGAGAAUGAGAGCCAAGUGAAGGGGGAAACCCUUCAUAAAACCAUCAGAUCUCAUGUAAACUCACUUUCAUGAGAACAGCGUGGAGAUAACUGCACCCACGAUUCAAUUAUCUCCACCUGGUCCCUCCCACAACAUGUGGGGAUUAUGGGAACUACAAUUCAAGAUGAGAUUUGGGUGGGGACACAGCCAAACCAUAUCACAUACCUUCUUUCAGUGAUAGGGAACUCACUGUCCACCCACGAGUCCUGAAGAAACAGAAAAGACCAAGAGAGAAGAGUAGAGCCUUCGAAGAAGGGACAUUCUCCAGAUGAGAGGAGGAUAAAGUGCUGUGUCAUUUUCUCCCCAAAGGAAGUGUAUUAAUCGGGAAUCACAGAGAAAAACUGUAGAAAAUCAACUGGGAUUGCUUUAAACUAAAAAGGACAUAUAUUGUCCCUCUUAACUAAAAAGUCCAAGAAAGGGCUUUCAGGCAAGGCUGGAUCCAGGGUCUCCAAGGAGGUCAUCAUUACAUUCAGCAUUACAGGAAUCUUAUGUUCACCAUCUGUUGAUUCUAUUAUCCUGUGUUGACUCCAUUUCAAGCUCAAUUCCCUCUUGUCAGAGCUAGCAGCUCCAAGUUCAUAUCCUAGCCAUUUAAUAAUCCCGAUUGAGGAAAG